CAACUCUCAGCACACUUGUUCAUCUAUAUUACUUAUUUACUUCUGUGUGUUGAGCCCAAAUCUGCCAACAUGUGACUUCCAUCCUUUGAUCUCAUUUUCUGGGAGCAACACAAAAAAAAUGUGGCUUCCUUGAAAGUUCUUCAUGUAUUUAAAGAUCACUCUCAAGCCUGCAGUCAACCUGGAGUAGGCAGAUGAAGCAGCUGGGGAAAAGACCUCUUGACCUACCAACAAACAGUCACUGACACUGUCAAGUUCAGAGGUGGUGAGAGACACAGAUUGCAGGUAUCUUUGUAAGUUCCAAUUCGUCCCCCACACCAGGUUCAGCUUGUCUUUACUCUCCCCUGAGUCACUUCGAGUUUGGUUCUACUGAUCUACAGGAAGCUUCUUCCCACCACUGAAUUCAAGGGACAGUCUUCCCAUAUGUCUUUACCAGCUCUCGCAAAUGAAGACAGAGCCUGUCUAUGUCAUUCAGACUGGCCUCAAACUCCAGGGCUCAACAAAGCCUCCUGCCUCAACUUCCCCAGUAGCUGGGACUACAGCAAAUAUCUUCCACUGAGAUCGUGUGGUUUUAAUCAUACAAGGAGAGUGGCAGAAGAACAGAAAGAUUGAAACCAAGGACAGAGAACACCUGAAAUUGCUUCAGGGUCAUAUGUCACAGCGCUGGGCAUUUCAUUUGGGAGGACCUUGACAAUAGACUCCACCUUGGAGCAGCUGCUCUGUCCCCCGUAGGAUGAUCACAGCACAUUUUCCUUGUCAGACUUGGAGUCUGCACCAGGGAGUGCUCAGGAAGGGACCAGUACAAUGUUGGGGAUCUGCCCUUGAGCCUCCAAGCUGUGCGAUGGGUGGAGACGUCACCCCAAUACACUCACAAAUCCUUUUGGCACACGCUUCAGGAAGACCAUCUGCUUUCGUUGUUCCUCUGACCUUUUGUUAGCACCCACCCUAAAUUGGAAAUAAAUUGCCAGAAGAAAUCUGAAGCCUAAAGCAGUUUUAGACCCUGUUGUCAAAGCAAGUCAAAUUAGUAUCUAUCAUCAUUCCCAUUCUGCAAUGAGGAAAUGCUGUCAGAGUGAUUAAGUAAUUUGCCCAUGGUCUCACAUAGAAGCCUGUCUUCUCCAGGGAACACAGCACUCAGAAUCGUCUCGGCCCCUGCAUAAGCCUGCAUGAGCCUGGGCUCUGGGGACCCAUCCUGGUGCAUCAUUCGUUGGCUCUGUGACAAUGGGCACAUCGUUUAACCUCUCUUGGCUUCAUUCUCCUUACUGGAAUGAUGGAGAGAGUUUUGCCUAUUUCAGAGGCUUGCUCUUCUAUACGUGAGCCUAUAAGUAACUUGUCUUAAGAAUUUCCACUCCUUCUGUACUCUGAUUUAAAUUUGAAGGCAUCAAAACAAAAACAAUCAA
ensembl:lncRNA LINC02866 long intergenic non-protein coding RNA 2866